AGCGAACGCUGGCGGCAGGCUUAACACAUGCCAGUCGAGCGGGCACUUCGGUGUCAGCGGCAGACGGGUGAGUAACACGUGGGAACGUACCCUUUGGUUCGGAAUAACGCUGGGAAACUAGCGCUAAUACCGGAUACGCCCUUUUGGGGAAAGGCUUGCUGCCGCAGGAUCGGCCCGCGUCUGAUUAGCUAGUUGGUGGGGUAAUGGCCUACCAAGGCGACGAUCAGUAGCUGGUCUGAGAGGAUGAUCAGCUACACUGGGACUGAGACACGGCCCAGACUCCUACGCGAGGGAGCAGUGGGGAAUAUUGGACGCUGGGCGCAAGCCUGAUACCGCCGUGCCGCGUGAGUGAUGAAGGCCUUAGGGUUGUAAAGCUCUUUUGUCCGGGACGAUAAUGACGGUACCGGAAGAAUAAGCCCCGGCUAACUUCGUG
rnacentral:rRNA from 1 species